CAACCAAAUUAAAAAAUAACACAGAGGGGUAAGGUAAGUCUCCAUUAAACUCAGGGAGGAGACUGGAAAACUCCUCUUUGAAUCCUGUCUAUAGUCACAGGU
rnacentral:snoRNA from 1 species